GCAUCCGUAGCUGCUUCUGCUGAGUACUAUAGGGAGAGACGAGGUGACAGAUUAUGUAAUCUAAAUCUGAUCGCUCACUCAGCAGAAACGAUAACGAUUUAACGGCAGUUAUAAGACCUCGCAAACUAUUACUGUUCCUUGCCUCCUUGUAUCUACUCACACCUAAGGAUGCAAGGAAACUGGAAGAGUAGUUCGCCUUGUCACGGGAAGCCUGAAUGAGGCCUUUUUGAAGGCAUGUCCCGAAGGAGUACCGUAAAGCCAGCCAGUCAUGGUGGUCACUGAAACUGAAGGUACUCGGGGGGCAGAGCAGGAGGCUGUUUUAAUAAGGCCAAGAGAGAGAGAACAUGACAGAAGGCUGGGACGAAUAUCGUGAGGCCAAGUUCAAAAAAAAGAGAGACGAGGAAGGCGAGAAGGAGUUCCUGCGCGAAAUUCUGUGGAAAGUUGGAAAGCACUAGUGAAGCAUUUAAAUUGCGCAAAGUGUUCUCGGGAGUUUCUAGCACGCCUAGCACACUUAGGGAGGAUGAUGGGACAUCGAUAGUGGUCAGGAGACGGAGGAACUUCUGAUGGAGAUGCAUUUUCCGUGAGGCCAAGAAGAUAUCGCAAAUCCGACAUAUGCGGCAUACAUAGGAGACCAUCGUAGAGUAGAGGAUAGGAUGUCCGUAUAUGAUGCUGAAUGGCUGGAUUCGAAUCCUGGCGAGAACAUCUGAACAAAAUUUUUCCUGCUGGAUUUAGGUGGAGAUGGCAAGAAGAUAUUCGCUUAUGCGGGCGUCGACUUGUUGCAACCCCUUGCCAACCGAUUGUACGCAGAGGAUUGAACAGUGCAGCAAGGGCUGCCGCCUCAGUGUAUAACACAUGGCUACAACAACAGCAACGUCGUGCUGCUGGUUCGAGGCAGGUUUCUGUCGACGAUUAGCGACAUCAUGAAAGUUUCACUGAGGAGGGUCGCUGAGAUGGACUACCAGAAAUUGAUUGAGGACCGAUCAAGGAAGACGGAGGAGCUGGUGCUACUGCAGAUACUAGAUAUCGGAAACCAGACUCCCGUCCUUGAACGGGAUCACCCUACAGCAGUCGAAGGAAGCGAAGUGGCUUAGCAUAGUCCUUAACUGGAAGCUGUCCUGGAAGAGCAGUACUGAGGAAAGGCGCCGUAAGCACUGUGCCCUUUUUACUCUUGCAGGAGGAUGUUCGAUAGGAAGAGGGGGGAUACCCCUAAGAUGAUUCAUUGGAUGUAUACAUAGAUAAGAGAACACAUACGAGUAAGUUCGAGAAGGUCCAGAACGCAAACGUUGGAGUCACAGGACUCUGAGAUCCGCAACGCUGGUAGGUCUGGAAGCGUUGCUGAAUUUAUAAUCUGUUGAGGUCUAUAUUUGGAACAGCACCGCCAAGGCCGCGCUUAGGCCGAGGAAGCUCGACAUGCUGAAGGAGUACAUAUGUGGCCACAGUUCAAUUCUGAAUGAUAUGGAUGUGAAAGAUCUCCGACUAUCUGGCACCGGUACCGUUUGGGACUAGGACAUUCAGGACUCGUUUCCCGGGUGGAAUAAAUGGAGGGCGGAUUUUGUGUUUGAAGAGGAUGAGACCUCGACCUUUACUAAUGUCUCCAAGCUGGAUUCAGGGACUGGAUUGUGUGUCCACUCCGACGCACUCAACAUGCGUAUGUCUCUGAGUCUACCGGACAUGUAUACGUUCAUUCAGGCGGAAGUCUGUGCCAUUAUAUCUGCCUCAGUAUACUCAAAUUACAUCCUCACAAGCAAUUGGUUUUAUAAUUGUCGUUAUACAAUUCCCAAUUUCAUUUUCAUUGUUGAACUCUUUCUAUUCGAAUAAAAUUUAAAAUUAGUUAAAUAUUGAAACUAUGAAUCGACACGUGAAUACAAAUCAAUGCACACAUAUUCUGGCUAAAAGAGCUCAUUUGUACAAAUAAUGCUAUUUGAUAUUUGACUGUCACAUCACAUUAAAAUUCUCAUUAUUGAUGAAUAUUUUGACAUGUUAGCCCAUUAUUGAUACGUAAAUGUCCUCAAUAUUUAUGAUAAUAUGUUGGUGAUGCAACUGAUAAUAAUGAUGUGGUUAAACAGAAAUGUAUUGCCAUUAGUUUCGUAAAAGUCAUUAUGCAAAUGUUAAAUUUAGAAAACCACUGAGUAAAUACAAAUAUAAUAUGAUUUUAGAGAAAUUAAAACAAA